CCUACGGGUGACAGCAGUGGGGAAUAUUGGGCAAUGGGCGCAAGCCUGACCCAGCAACGCCGCGUGAAGGAUGAAGGUUUUCGGAUUGUAAACUUCUGUCGCGAGGGACGAAGAAUGACGGUACCUCGUAAGAAAGCCCCGGCUAACAACGAGCCAGCAGCCGCGGUCAUUCGUAGGGGGCAAGCGGUGUCCGGAAUGACUGGGCGUAACGGGAGUGUAGGAGGCCUUGUAAGGUAGAUGUGAAAUCCUACGGCUUAACCGUAGAACUGCAUCUAAAACUGGGAGGCUGGUGUGCAGGAGAGGUGUGUGGAAUGCCUGGUGUAGCGGUGGAAUGCGUAGAGAUUAGGAAGAACACCAGAGGCGAAGGCGGCUCACUGGACUUUAACUGACGCUGAGGCUCGAAAGCGUGGGGAGCGAACAGGAUUAGAUACCCGAGUAGUC
rnacentral:rRNA from 1 species